AUUGUGUAAUUAAGUUGGUAGGACGGUGAGUGUAGUUUAUGGAAUUCAUUGCAAAAGUAUCGCAAUUGUGCAAUAAAGCAUUGGAAUUUCAAAAAACUUGUCAACUAUAAAGCAUGGAGAAACCUAUAGUUCGUGCAAGGGUAGUAAAGGUCCUCGGUAGAACGGGUUCCCAAGGACAAUGUACACAAGUUAAAGUGGAGUUUUUGAACGAACAAAAUAGGCAGUUAAUCCGAAACGUGAAGGGUCCCGUACGAGAAGGAGACAUUCUAACGCUUUUAGAAUCUGAAAGAGAAGCUAGACGGCUUCGUUAAUGUAUUUGACGAUUGAAGUUCCUUCUCGAAAAUUAAACAAAAGACCUUCAGUUAUUAAAGUCAUAUCGCAAAAAGUAAACUGUAAUAAACUAAAUAUUCAUUUUUCAGGUAUUCUGAACAGAAGCUUAUUGAUAUAUUUGUCAUAAAACUGUAUCUAUAAAACUAUAUACCAUCGAGUAUUUUUUUCUAUAUUUCAACACAAAACUAUUCAUGCAUAUUCAUGCAUUAUUCAUUCAUUUAUGAAAACGAUAUGUAAGUAUUAUUACUGUAUGAGUGUAACCGAAACAUUAAAAAAAUUAAAAAAAUAA